rnacentral:rRNA from 1 species
AGUGAACGCUGGCGGCAGGCCUAAUACAUGCAAGUCGAACGGCAGCACAGCAGAGCUUGCUCUGUGGGUGGCGAGUGGCGGACGGGUGAGGAAUACAUGGGAAUCUGCCCAGUCGUGGGGAUAACGUAGGGAAACUUACGCUAAUACCGCAUGCGCCCUUCGGGGGGAAAGCCGGGGGACCUUCGGGCCUGGCGCGAUUGGAUGAGCCCAUGUCGGAUUAGCUAGUUGGCGGGGUAAUGGCCCACCAAGGCGACGAUCCGUAGCUGGUCUGAGAGGAUGAUCAGCCACACUGGAACUGAGACACGGUCCAGACUCCUACGGGAGGCAGCAGUAGGGAAUAUUGGACAAUGGGCGCAAGCCUGAUCCAGCCAUGCCGCGUGAGUGAAGAAGGCCCUCGGGUUGUAAAGCUCUUUUGUCCGGAAAGAAAAGCGCCGGGCUAAUACCCUGGUGUCCUGACGGUACCGGAAGAAUAAGCACCGGCUAACUUCGUGCCAGCAGCCGCGG